rnacentral:rRNA from 1 species
UAGAAAGGUGGGGGACCGUUCGGGCCUCACGCGAUGAGAUGAGCCGAUGCCGGAUUAGCUAGUUGGCGGGGUAAAGGCCCACCAAGGCGACGAUCCGUAGCUGGUCUGAGAGGAUGAUCAGCCACACUGGAACUGAGACACGGUCCAGACUCCUACGGGAGGCAGCAGUGGGGAAUAUUGGACAAUGGGCGCAAGCCUGAUCCAGCAAUGCCGCGUGUGUGAAGAAGGCCUGCGGGUUGUAAAGCACUUUCAGUGGGGAAGAACAGAUUCGGGUCAAUACCCCGGAGCCCUGACGUUACCCACAGAAGAAGCACCGGCUAACUCCGUG